rnacentral:tRNA from 1 species
GGGGGAUUAGCUCAGUGGUAGAGCGCUUGCCUAGCAAGCGCAAGGCCCUGGGUUCGGUCCCCAGCUCCG